rnacentral:rRNA from 1 species
UACGGGGGGAGCAAGCGUUGUUCGGAUUUACUGGGCGUAAAGGGCGCGUAGGCGGCCAGCACAAGUCAGUUGUGAAAUCUCCGGGCUUAACUCGGAAAGGUCAACUGAUACUGUGCGGCUAGAGUGCGGAAGGGGCAACUGGAAUUCUCGGUGUAGCGGUGAAAUGCGUAGAUAUCGGAAGGAACACCAGUGGCGAAAGCGGCUUCCUGGUCCAGCACCGACGUUCAGGCACGAAAGCGUGGGGAGCAAACAGG